CGAGGAGGAGGAGGAUCCUAGGACCCAGGUGUGUGGAUGCCAAGAGAGCGGAGUUUCGCCCAGGAAUCCUUCACGGAACGAAGGACCUCACUGGUCUCAACUGAAAGAGAUUUUCACCCUCGGAUGGUAACUUUUAAAAACAAACAAAUCCUCAGGCAGAAACAGUUAUCCUAAGCAAUAGUAAGAGAAAAAGAGAAAGAUUGGAGCUGUGUCUGCAGCCGAGGGUGGCAAGAAGGAAUUGAAGGGAGUUGGGCAGGGUGUGCGCAAAUUCCAAAGGCACAAAUGGAACGCAUUGCUGUCAAGCAUGCGUGGCCCAUCUAGAAACUGCUAGAAAAGUUUCUGAUCUGCAACGUGGAACAAGCCCAACACCAACAGUGGAGCACCCAUGGGGACAUCACUUGAAGAAACACUCUUGGUUACACAAUGACGACAAAGGUACCAGAAAUCAUAAUCUCUAGAAUUUAAAGGAUUAGAUUACUUUACUGCUUGUACCUGUUGGUACCCUCUUUUCUCCAAAUGCACAGUACCCUAAUUCUCACAACAAAUCAAGGCUUUUUUGUUGAUGCUCACUCUUCCCUUAUUUCUUGUAGGUGGUUUUGGGGAGAAGAUUCCAAAUUUCCUUCAAUCCCCUGGAAUCAAGAGAUAGAUCUUUGACACUUUGAAAGAAAGCUCCAUUUUGCUAUACCAGACUUUUUCAGCUCAUCUGCUUGGUGCGGGGUUCUCAGCUACAAACUUGUUUCUGGAUCUUACCUGGACACACAGAUCAGAUGACAUUCUAUUUUCCUGCUACUACUUUACUUUGUGGAACCUUCUCCCUUUCUGUACUAUCUCAUGCAGACUGUGUUGCUAGGAGAGCCCUGCAUGCUCAGUGACAUUUCUUAUCUGUUUUCUGUUUAUUGUCAAACUGCAAGAUCUCUUCACAAAGGACCAGAAUGGGGUUAGCUACUACACAGGGGGAGGGAUAAGCCAUUGAAGUGCCACCCUUUCUUUCUGCUGUCAUAGUCAAAAUUCCUCAAACUCACCCAAGGGCAAAAACUGUAUUGGCCUAGAACCACUUGCCAGCCAAGAGACGUGCAGAAGUCACAAGUCCAAGACAAGUUAUGGGGUAUGAACCGUGGGUGUGUCUCCCAUGUUUGUUCAAGAACUCUAGCAGUCCUCUGUGAGGCACAGUGCCUGCUGGAAAGUAUGGACAUAGGUUUUUAAUGGACAAAACCCUUUUUCGAAAACUACGGUCUUCCUAAAAAAAGGAGGUUUAUGCAGUUUUUUGAAAAAGGGGUUUUCCCUGAAAAAAAACCCCAAACAAACAAAAAACCGCGUGCAGACUUUCACUUUUGAAAAACCCGCUUUCGAAAAAGUGAUUGGAAGAUAUGCAAAUUUGCACCAAAUUUGCAUAUCUCCUUUAAAAAAAACAACGGCAUCUAGACAUGCCCUAAGUCUGAAACAUUUAGUGGCAACCAUAAGCCUGUCACUUUCCAAAAUAAUAGUAAACUGCAGCAGAAACUGUUUCUUUAGUAGGUAAAUACUUCUAUGUCCCUAGUCAAUACUGAGAAAUAAUUAUUACAUGAAUUCAUGAAUAUACAGUUCAUUAGUGUAUCAACUGCAUUUUAAUGCAAUUAGCCAGGAUAGUCCAGAGAUUUGUUUCCAACUCAUUUGAGCAAUCCAAUUAUUCUAUAUUAAGACAACUCCAGUUCUUUGGUUUUCCCUUGAUCUAGUUCCUACCAGUCAUGUUUGUACCAUUCUCUACUGAAAAUGGCUAUCUGGUUUAGUUUCAUUUGCAGGGUCUUGGCAUUUUGGGGGACAGAGGGGAUGCAACAAGCACAGUCUUAAUUUAAUCACAAGACCUGCAUAGGAGGCUUGUACAUGUCUAUUCCCCCAUUAUGCUGCUUCUAGACAGAGCUUUAGUCUCUCCCAUGAAGUUGAGCAAUAUUUAACACAUUAAUAAAGUGCAAACUGUUAUUCUGAUCAUUUACAAACACAGUUAACAUGCUUUUAAAUUUUGAAAACUACAUUUAAAAACACAAUUUAAUUAAAAUGCGAACUUUAAAAACCAUAUUUGUUUUUGUUU